rnacentral:tRNA from 1 species
GGGCAGUUAGCUCAGUUGGUAGAGCAUCUCGUUUACACCGAGGCGGUCGGGGGUUCAAGUCCCUCACUGCCCA